AUUUACCACUGUGUUAUAACCUAGCUGUAGGAUAUCUAUGCGAAUCCCGGCCCUGUAUCAAGAAAAUCGCAGAAAGUACGUCCCUGACGUAAAGCUGCUGGUAAUAUCAAUGAAAAGGAAGAAGAAAAAAAAAAGAGAGAAAACACGCCGGCGCAACGAAAAACAAGGAAACGCUAACCCGAACUGCGGCAAUUUGUUCGGGUAAUGGCGUCCCAUCCCACGGAGCCCAAGAGUACGAGUACGAAAAGAUACGCGAAGGGAAGGAGAGAGCGGAAGCAUCAAUAAACGCCCGUUCCAUUAUCCAACUCAACCGAGUAACGUCGAUCCCUUUCCCAAACGGUCCCGGAAUCGUUUCACGAUACCCCAAGAUAUUGUCGGUAUACGAAAAGCACAGGACAACAACGCCCUCCCUUGAGUUUGCGGCACGAAGGUGAAGCACGGAUCCAGUCGUAGCGCGUAUGUAUGCUACGGAAAAAUGACGUGGCAAGAGAAGUUGUAAUGUUCCCUCCGUCACGUAACGGAGAGGCAGACACUCGAGUUGUCUAACCGAGAAGAUGAGUAAGGAGGUAAACGAGACUGGAACGAAGAGGAGUAAACGACGGGAAAUACGUGAUCUGCGAGCGGCUUACGUUACGACUUGCCGCCACGGGAGCUACUGGAAGAAGUAGAAGAGCGCCGAGCAGCAAUACCGUCCUCGAGACACGGCUCAGGUAGCAGCAGAUAAGGUUAGGGUCUUUAGCUCGCUCGGCAUUGCCGAGCGUUCCGCGUACCUCAAUGGGGUCCUCCAAGGCCCUGUAAAGUCCUCGGUCAAGGUCGGCGUCAAGGUCGCGCGAAUAAACAAAUUUAGCACGGCCGACAGCGUCGACCACGUAAGCAGCCACGAGAAGCAUCGCUUCUUGUCUGGUCUUUCCCCCCUCCAAUUCCUUCUCUCUGUUUCUCCCAUUCCGCGUCGGACGUUUCAUCUCUAUCUCUCAUUGCACAUUCGUUAUUAGUCUCGCUCCCUCUUACUUUUGCACUCUCUCUCUCUCUCUCUCUCUCUCUCUCUCUCUCUCUCUCUCUCUCCUACCUCGAUCGUGUUCUUUUCCGCCAGCAUCGCUACUCGAGUCUUCUUACGUAAUCGAGAGCGCAGAGGUUGGUUCUCGUCGGAGCGCUACAAAUAAUAGGGAGUGAACGUUACGUUGUCUCUGUAGUAAUGACUGAGUCAAUUAAUAAACAGGAGCGAGAGAGAAGCUGAUUACUUAGUUAAAAUCACGAUUAUCAUCGAACUCCUACGUCAUGGCUUAUCGAUGCUUAGAGCUGCUUAAUAAAUGUAUAUCUGGCGUGCACGUCCUUUUUCAAACUGAAAAUAUCGUUAUGAAAUGAUAAGAGUGUUAUCGCGACGCUGCAUGAAGUCGUACCGGGGGGAUACGGCGGCCACGCAGCCUGACGGUUCGACACGUUAUUCGAUGACGGUUGUAUAAUUUCCGCGAGAUUGUUUUACUCGACAGAAGAAACUGGAAGAGCAGCUGGGAAAGUUUUAAUGCGCAGAGACGUCGCGUGGAUGCAGCACCGUGAAGGGUAGACGAAAAAUGGCAUAGGACUAUGCAAGACAGGAUAGAAGUGCAUAAGGUAGAGCUAGGAGCGGACUAGGAAGAGGAACAGUUGGAUAGAAUCGAGUUUUGGUGGCUGGCAUGCAGGGAGGCGUUUAUAUACGUCGUAAGACGCCUUGGUGUGUAAUGGCACGAGGCACGGCGGCCGCUUCGAGUAGGAAAGUUCAUCAUUCAUGCAACGUUUAGAUGUACACUGAUUUCCCAGGAGUAUACCCGUAUCCCAUACAUUGCGUAUUCCGUAUCCUCGUGUCCCGCAUUCGCCUUGGCUAUUCCUCAACGUAGGAUAUAAGGGUGAGUCAAUAUGCCUCGGAAAGACGUAACGCCACUUCCGCUCGUUAUUUAUUUUAGCUUUACUGUCCUAGUAUCACGCGUACCAACACCAGAAAUCGGCCACCACCGGUCACGAGGCUUCUCUCGUUUCUCUCGGGAGAAUCGACGCCAGCGCCUCUCACGUCAAAUCCAACCAACAACGCCCCGAGUAGAAAAUCA